GCGGAGGAAAAGAAACCAACAGGGAUUGCCCUAGUAACGGCGAGUGAAGCGGCAACAGCUCAAAUUUGAAAUCUGGCUCCUUUGGAGUCCGAGUUGUAAUUUGCAGAGGGUGCUUUGGCGUUGGCUGUGGUCUAAGUUCCUUGGAACAGGACGUCACAGAGGGUGAGAAUCCCGUACGUGGCCGCCAGCCUCCGCCGUGUAAAGCCCCUUCGACGAGUCGAGUUGUUUGGGAAUGCAGCUCUAAAUGGGAGGUAAAUUUCUUCUAAAGCUAAAUAUCUGCCAGAGACCGAUAGCGCACAAGUAGAGUGAUCGAAAGAUGAAAAGCACUUUGGAAAGAGAGUCAAAAAGCACGUGAAAUUGUUGAAAGGGAAGCGCUUGCAGCUAGACGUGCCUCUGGAUGAUCAGCCGGGCUUCUGCCCGGUGCACUCUUCCUCUGGCAGGCCAGCAUCAGUUUGGGCGGCUGGAUAAAGGUCUGUUAAACGUGACUCCCCUCGGGGAGAGCUUAUAGGGCAGACGACAUGCAGCCAGCCUGGACUGAGGUCCGCGCAUCUGCUAGGAUGCUGGCGUAAUAGCUGUAAGCGGCCCGUCUUGAAACACGGACCAAGGAGUCUAACAUCUAUGCGAGUGUUUGGGUGUCAAGCCCGAGCGCGUAAUGAAAGUGAACGGAGGUGGGAACCCUUUGGGUGCACCAUCGACCGAUCCCGACGUCUUCUGAUGGAUUUGAGUAAGAGCAUAGCUGUUGGGACCCGAAAGAUGGUGAACUAUGCCUGAAUAGGGUGAAGCCAGAGGAAACUCUGGUGGAGGCUCGCAGCGGUUCUGACGUGCAAAUCGAUCGUCAAAUUUGGGCAUAGGGCGAAGACUAUCGACUAUCUAGUAGCUGGUCUGC
rnacentral:sRNA from 1 species